GACGAAGGGGGCUAGCGUUGUUCGGAAUUACUGGGCGUAAAGCGAGUGUAGGUGGUUGUCCAAGUUGGAUGUGAAAGCCUUGAGCUCAACUCAAGAAAUGCAUUCAGGACUGGGCGGCUAGAGGACCGGAGAGGAUAGUGGAAUUCCCAGUGUAGUGGUGAAAUACGUAGAGAUUGGGAAGAACACCGGUGGCGAAGGCGGCCCACUGGAUCGGUACUGACGCUGAGGUGCGAAAGCGUGGGGAGCAAACAGG
rnacentral:rRNA from 1 species